rnacentral:lncRNA from 1 species
UCAUAUUCUAACCAAUCAAGUGUAAUAUAUCCAAUCCAGUCCAAUAUAGCUUAUCAAAUGGGGCCUAAAGGGACUUAUCAAAUAAAAAUCGCUAGAUGAAUGGGAUUGUUAAUGGGAUAUUCAGCAAACAAUUUAUGCGUCAAUUUAGAAAAGAGGAAAAGAAAAGCAAGAAAGAAAAGGAAAUAGUAAAACAGAUGAACAAAGGGCAGGAAAGUGAGAACUAUUUGAUAUCAAGUAUCAAUUGUGUGUCUAUUUGUCUUGUCUUGUGUUGUGUGCAUUUCAUUUCAUUCAUUCAAUGACUUUGUUAUGUUAUGGGUUUUUGUUAGAGUAUGUAGAGCUAGGAUUGUGACAAGUGUCACUUGGUCAUUGACUGAUGUUAGAAUUAGUGAGUAAGCUAUUGUAAUCAGUUAGAGCCUUAUACAGCUUAACUAUCUGUAUUGUAAUGUAAUCUGAGAAAUAAUACAGAAGGUUCAUCUUCUUGUUAAUUCUCUCUCUAUUUUCACUUUCGUUAACAUGGUAUCAAGAGCCAUGGAUCAAUCUUGAGUUCUUCUGCUUCCGCUUCCUAUGCCUUGACAUUUUUUUCUGGACCUCCACGGAAAGUGACAUCAAUAUCUGCUUCUUCCAUAUCAUUCUUGGAUUCUCAAUUUCAUCAAAUUGAAUCAAGGUUUGGGUUUCUAUUCAGCUCACUGUUGGGGUUUUUCAUUCUCAUAUUUGAUUCGAGUACGUCUCAAUAGGGUUUUGUCGCUGUUUUGGGAAUUUCCAAUGUUCUUGAUCGAUUGCUAGUCAAUUUUGGGGCUUUUAUAUGAGAUUGCUGAUUUCAAGCCUUCGAAUUGGGGAUUUACAAAUUCAUAUCUGCUUCUCGUAAUUCUCCAUUGAUUUGCGAUUGAUUUGCCUUCCUAACUUCAAUUCCAUGUUUGCCUAUGGAGGUUCUAUUUCCUCAACUAUGGUGGAUUUCAGAUUAUUAGUUGCAUUCCUGCUAUUUGGAUCCUAUGGAUGUUCUUUUGGUAUGUCUAUUGUUCAUCCUCUAUCUCUCUGAUUUCAAUAAUUAGAGAAAUAAUAUGUUCAAAGAUUCAAGAUUUCUAUCCACCUUUGAUAGUUAUUUUAGCUGCUCCUUGUUCUUGCUCUAACAUCACCUUCAUGUUCUUGAAUACAUCACCAUGGACCAAAUAUUGAUGGUUCAUUUGUUAUUUGCUUUGUCAAUUUUCUAGUGCAUCCAAAAUCUCAAUACCUCUAUUCUUGACUCAUCAAUCCCACUUCUUUGGAGAACAAGAAAAUCUUCAAUCAAUCAAUCCUUUACAUGGUUCUAUCACAAUUCUCUUCUCACUCUUCUUAUCUCAGGGGACAAAGAAUUUCCCAUUUCUCAUUCUCUUCUAUCUCUUUUCUCCAAUAUUUAAGGCAACAAAAGAAUUUCUCAAUUCUUCCUCUUUCCUAUCUCCUUUCUACAAUCUCUAAGGGUACAACAGAAUUUCCCAAUUCUUUCUCUUUUCUAUGCCCUUUCUACAAUCUCUCUGAUUAGGGAACAAAUGGAUUUCUCAUUUCUUCUUUCUUUCUAUCUCCUUUCUUUAAAUUUUCAGGGAACAAAGAAUUUCCCUCUUCUCUUAUUCUAUCUUUUUCUAUAUGUGGGGGUCUGAUUACAUAAUUGAUUUGACUUGCUUAUUGAGGAUGCAAUUAUUUGGCAGAUUUGGGAUACUUGAUGGUUUAUAUAGUGAAUCAGUUGGUAAAUCUCAUAGGCAUGUAGUUAAUCAUUUGUUGUCAAUAAGGUUGCGAAAUUCGUUGACUGGAAGAGUUGAUGGAGCAUGUAUUAUGCCUCUAAUAUUACUUGUUAAUCAGUUACCAAAGUUUGAUGGGGUGUAUUUGAGUUGUAUGUGGUUCCUCUACUUUCUUUGGAUCAGUGGAAGGUUUAGCUUUUUUUUUUUUUUUUUUCAUAUGUGUCAAUUUGGCUAACUUUGCUGCGUUAUGCUUCACAUGAGUACUCUUAUGUCUCAAGCUUUAGAUUGGUGCUCCAAACACAACGGAAAAAAAAAAAAAAAAAAAAAAAAAAAGCCUGCUCUACUUCAACUAUAGCAACAUUCAAUGCUUUUUCUGCUUCUUUGGUUUAAGCAUUGUUCCAAUCUCAUGGUUGGAUUCUCCACCCAUGAUCUUGCGGGGGGAUGUUAGAGUAUGUAGAGCUAGGAUUGUGACAAGUGUCACUUGGUUAUUGACUGAUGUUAGAAUUAGUUAGUAAGCUGUUGUAAUCAGUUAAAGCCUUAUAAAUAUUAACUCUCUGUAUUGUAGUGUAAUCUGAGAAAUAAUACAGAAAGGUUCAUCUUCUUCUUAAUUCUCUCUCUAUUUUCACUUUCGUUAACAGUUUUGUUAUGUAAUAUAUGAUUCCUAGCUGGCUACUUGUUGUCAAAUCACAAUUGCGAGUUUAAGGGCCGCCAAAGCCGAUGUUUACGGGUACACCAGAAAUUCAAUGUUUGCCACUUUCAUUUUUCAUCUAUGAGUCUUGUGUCCGGCAAACAACCAACUCAUAUUUUAUAUAUAUAAUUGUUCCCUCCAUAUCUUUGAUACCAAUUGCCAAGUAUCUUCUAAUUGGCUAGCUUAGGAUCAUGAAUUUCAACCCCAACUGUUGUGACACAAUCCACGCACUCUCCCACUAUAAUUGCCCUAUCUAUAUACCACAAGAUCUUUGUGGCCAUGAUGUUGCCAUUCUCCCC